ACGACUCCUUAUUCAAAUCGAUAUUGACUCGUUCCGUUUUUUUUGCACCAGUAGCAGACAACGUGACACACAAGGUUGUUGACGAACUCUUCUUCGUGUAGCUCACAAAAUUAGAUACUUGUCGAUCAUUGCUGAUAAUAAUGGGGGGGGGGAUUCCCUCUUUGAUUCACCAUCUCAUAACUGAACUCGGCAUUAACGAGCAUAUGGUCGACCCCAUAAUCCUCACACACGAUGAUCUUGAGCUGCUUCAACAAAGUAGUAGUUUCUAAUGUUACCAUUCGACCACCCCUUGUUUUGUCUGCCAAGAAACUGCACUGAUCACCGCAACUUGAGAUCCAUUCACCAGAUUUAACAUAGAUUAGAACCAUGUUGUAUUGAUAGAUAGAAGAGAUGGUUAUGUCGAUGAACAAGAGAGAAAAACAAAGAACGAAGGAGAGAAAGAUCGUGGGGUGGGAGGAGAAAAACGCGGGAGAGAAGAUACUAUGAGAGAUUUAGGGUAGAUUUGGUUUAGAUUUAGGAAAGAUAUUUAUUGAAAUAUGGAAGUUUCCAUAUUUUCGUGAUUUACCCAUAAUAUGUAAUAUACGUAUAUCAGAGCGCUUAAGGGAGGGUGUGAGAUUUAUCUUCCUUACGCAUUUGAUAACGUAAAAGGCAGAAAAUGUUAUGACACAAAAAAAAAAGUAUUUCACAGAGUCGAGGUUAGAACUUGUAAACAAACUAUAAGUAGAGUAAAGAUAUCUUGUUAGAAUAUUACCUGACAAAAUAUAGCUAGCAUAGAAUAUUGAAGAAAAUUUUAUUUGUAUUAUGUACCCAGGAUAAAUCUGUGUGUAAUACUUACUAUCCGAUUUCUAGACUAAGUAGAUGACUAGAAUGAAUAUUAUAUCUCUCCUAGAACAUAAAAAUACAUGAUUCCACUGUUGUUAAAAAUAAAAUUUAAACAUAUAAAUAGUCAUAAUAAUGUUUCUAAUUAUUUACAUAUUUUUUUUAUAUUUUUAAAACUUAGUUUACUAUUUUUUCCAUUGCAGAAAGGUAAAACCUGUCCAAAAUGACCAAAAAUAUCAAAAGUCAUAUUUUGACAAACAAAAAUUGAAAGUGUCUCUGUUUCCCAAUUUUCCCUAUUUCAAACCCCACUAUAUUUUUUACACUAAACUCUAUUACAGAGUAAAACUUUCUCCAAUCUCACUAUAUUUUCCACUCUAAAAUAUUGCAACUCUAUUUUUUACUCUAUAUUUGGAAUAACUCUAUUUCUUACUUUAUUAUAGAACGUAACUUUUUUUAUUUAUACUUUAGUCAUUUUAUUCUUUAAUCUUUCUAUUUUGUAACUAUUUGUGUAAAUUAAUUAUGCAAACAAUACAUUAUGUUCAACACAAUAUAUAUAAGAGAUUUUUACUUUCUAAGACACAUUUUGUCUUACAUAUUACACAUUGAGAUACUUUGUCCAUGUGACACACUUUAUCUUGUUGCAAUGUCACAUAUACUCUCAAACCUAACCUAAGCACACUUGCCUUUAACUAUACUGAGUUAACCAAAUACCCAUGUGUCUCGUUGGCCAAGAAUUUGAAAAAAAAAAAGAAAAAUAGAAAGACAAACACCACUUUCGUUUCGAAAGUAGAUCUAUUUUCCCUCAUCCUCUCCCACUUCAUCCUCUCCGGCGCCGCAGUCGUAACACUCUCACUCGAACCCCGCCGCGAACCAUGAGGAAACCGAAGACCACGAAGAAAGUGAAGAUAUCCGUUAAGGGACGAGUGUUAUGUUAGGUUAAUUCACCGCAGUCGUAACACUCUCAAUGAGAGAUAGAGGUUGAAGCUUCUCCAGAUGUACCUCCUCAUAAUCACAAGCUCAACUCCACCGCGAUUCUACCAGUACUCGUCUUACAUCUCUCGUCCCGUCCUCCAAUGACUCGCCACAACCUACUUCUCUUGUCGCUAGCUCCCCUGUUUUCAACCUAUCAUUCACACACCGACUGUCCACAAUUCCAGUGAACACAACACAUCCAUUGUCAACACAUCUCCUGGCCACAGCGGCACCAGUGGUCACGUCACCAUGUUUAUCGAGGAACCAUACAUCCUCCUCCUCUGGACACUCAGAUGAUCACCACUACUGAUUCUCCCACAGUACUCGUCCUACACCUCUCGUCCCAUCCUCCAAUGACUCACCACAACCUACUUCUCAUGUCGCUAGCUCCCCUAUUUUCAACCCUAUCAUUCACACACUGACCUUCCAUAAUUCUAGUGACCACAACACAUCCAGUGUCCACACAUCUCCUGACCACAGCGGCACCGGUGGUCACGUCACCCUGUUUAUCGAGGAACCAUACAUCCUCCUCCUCUUGACACUCAGAUGAUCACCACUACCGAUUCUCCCACAAAAAAAAUACCUUCAGACUAGCAAAUCACUCUGCCCACCUUUUGUGUAACAUAUGGGUAUCUUGUUGAAUUCGGGUUCUUUAUCUUUUGUCUUUUGAUGCGCUGCUUGCCAAUGAUGUUUUAGGCAAUAACGAUAUGCUAUAUUCUCCCUUUCCAGGCUUCGUAACUGUAACUUUGUUCCAUUGCGAUAGUGGCAUCUUAUUCUAUGGUUUUAUCCUCA